rnacentral:rRNA from 1 species
UAGGGAAUCUUCGGCAAUGGACGAAAGUCUGACCGAGCAACGCCGCGUGAGUGAGGAAGGUUUUCGGAUCGUAAAACUCUGUUGUUAGAGAAGAACGUUGUGUAGAGUGGAAAAUUACACAAGUGACGGUAUCUAACCAGAAAGGGACGGCUGACUACGUGCCAGCAGCCGCGGUAAUACGUAGGUCCCGAGCGUUGUCCGGAUUUAUUGGGCGUAAAGCGAGCGCAGGUGGUUUAAUAAGUCUGAUGUAAAAGGCAGUGGCUCAACCAUUGUGUGCAUUGGUAACUGUGAGACUGGAGUGCAGUAGAGGAGAGUGGAAUUCCAUGUGUAGCGGUGAAAUGCGUAGAUAUAUGGAGGAACACCGGUGGCGAAAGCGGCGCUCUGGACUGUAACUGACACUGGGGGUCGAAAGCGUGGGUAGCAAACA